rnacentral:tRNA from 1 species
GCCGGGGUGUUGGAAUUGGCAGACAACUUGGACUUAAAAUCCAAUGUUCCGAAAGGGGCGUGCGGGUUCAAGUCCCGCCCCCGGCA